UGGGGAAUCUUCCGCAAUGGACGAAAGUCUGACGGAGCAACGCCGCGUGAGUGAUGAAGGAUUUCGGUCUGUAAAGCUCUGUUGUUUAUGACGAACGUGCAGUGUGUGAACAAUGCAUUGCAAUGACGGUAGUAAACGAGGAAGCCACGGCUAACUACGUGCCAGCAGCCGCGGUAAUACGUAGGUGGCGAGCGUUGUCCGGAAUUAUUGGGCGUAAAGAGCAUGUAGGCGGCUUAAUAAGUCGAGCGUGAAAAUGCGGGGCUCAACCCCGUAUGGCUCUGGAAACUGUUAGGCUUGAGUGCAGGAGAGGAAAGGGGAAUUCCCAGUGUAGCGGUGAAAUGCGUAGAUAUUGGGAGGAACACCAGUGGCGAAGGCGCCUUUCUGGACUGUGUCUGACGCUGAGAUGCGAAAGCCAGGGUAGCGAACGGG
rnacentral:rRNA from 1 species